rnacentral:rRNA from 1 species
GACGAACGCUGGCGGCGUGCUUAACACAUGCAAGUCGAACGGAAAGGCCCUGCUUUUGUGGGGUGCUCGAGUGGCGAACGGGUGAGUAACACGUGAGUAACCUGCCCUUGACUUUGGGAUAACUUCAGGAAACUGGGGCUAAUACCGGAUAUGAGCUCCUGCUGCAUGGUGGGGGUUGGAAAGUUUCGGCGGUUGGGGAUGGACUCGCGGCUUAUCAGCUUGUUGGUGGGGUAGUGGCUUACCAAGGCUUUGACGGGUAGCCGGCAUGAGAGGGUGACCGGCCACAUUGGGCCUGAGAUACGGCCCAGACGCCUACGGGAGGCAGCAGUGGGGAAUAUGGCACAAUGGGCGGAAGCCUGAUGCAGCAACGCCGCGUGCGGGAUGACGGCCUUCGGGUUGUAAACCGCUUUCGCCUGUGACGAAGCGUGAGUGACGGUAAUGGGUAAAGAAGCACCGGCUAACUACGUG